rnacentral:rRNA from 1 species
UACGAAGGGGGCUAGCGUUGUUCGGAAUUACUGGGCGUAAAGGGCGCGCAGGCGGCCCUUCAAGUCAGAUGUGAAAGCCCCGGGCUCAACCCGGGAACGGCAUUUGAGACUGAAGGGCUUGAGUUCGGGAGAGGAGAGUGGAAUUCCCAGUGUAGAGGUGAAAUUCGUAGAUAUUGGGAAGAACACCGGUGGCGAAGGCGGCUCUCUGGACCGACACUGACGCUGAGGCGCGAAAGCGUGGGGAGCAAACAGG